CAGUAGCCACGGGAAUACAGAGGGUGCGAGCGUUAAUCGGAUUUACUGGGCGUAAAGCGUGCGUAGGCGGCUUCUUAAGUCGGAUGUGAAAUCCCUGAGCUUAACUUAGGAAUUGCAUUCGAUACUGGGAAGCUAGAGUAUGGGAGAGGAUGGUAGAAUUCCAGGUGUAGCGGUGAAAUGCGUAGAGAUCUGGAGGAAUACCGAUGGCGAAGGCAGCCAUCUGGCCUAAUACUGACGCUGAGGUACGAAAGCAUGGGGAGCAAACAGGAUUAGAGACCCCGGUAGUCCCUGUCUCUUAUAA
rnacentral:rRNA from 1 species